rnacentral:rRNA from 1 species
UACGGGGGGAGCAAGCGUUGUUCGGAUUUACUGGGCGUAAAGGGCGCGUAGGCGGCGCAACAAGUCAGUUGUGAAAUCUCCGGGCUUAACUCGGAACGGUCAACUGAUACUGUCGGACUAGAGUGCAGAAGGGGCAACUGGAAUUCUCGGUGUAGCGGUGAAAUGCGUAGAUAUCGAGAGGAACACCUGCGGCGAAGGCGGGUUGCUGGGCUGACACUGACGCUGAGGCGCGAAAGCUAGGGGAGCGAACGGG